rnacentral:rRNA from 1 species
GAUGAACGCUGGCGGCGUGCCUAAUACAUGCAAGUCGAGCGAACGGACGAGAAGCUUGCUUCUCUGAUGUUAGCGGCGGACGGGUGAGUAACACGUGGAUAACCUACCUAUAAGACUGGGAUAACUUCGGGAAACCGGAGCUACUACCGGCUAAUAUUUUGAACCGCAUGGUUCAAAAGUUAAAGACGGUCUUGCUGUCACUUAUAGAUGGAUCCGCGCUGCAUUAGCUAGUUGGUAAGGUAACGGCUUACCAAGGCAACGAUGCAUAGCCGACCUGAGAGGGUGAUCGGCCACACUGGAACUGAGACACGGUCCAGACUCCUACGGGAGGCAGCAGUAGGGAAUCUUCCGCAAUGGGCGAAAGCCUGACGGAGCAACGCCGCGUGAGUGAUGAAGGUCUUCGGAUCGUAAAACUCUGUUAUUAGGGAAGAACAUAUGUGUAAGUAACUGUGCACAUCUUGACGGUACCUAAUCAGAAAGCCACGGCUAACUACGUG